rnacentral:rRNA from 1 species
GGUGUAGGCGGCUUGGUAAGUCGGGUGUGAAAUCCCUGGGCCCAACCCAGGAACUGCACUCGAAACUGCCUCGCUAGAGUUCCGGAGAGGGUGGCGGAAUUCCCGGUGUAGAGGUGAAAUUCGUAGAUAUCGGGAGGAACACCAGUGGCGAAGGCGGCCACCUGGACGGUGACUGACGCUCAGACCCGAAAGCGUGGGGAGCAAACA